AUGCAUCACCUGUGGAGACCUGGUGUCAGAGCACUGCUGUGGAUCAUCGAGGUGGUGGAGGCCAAUUACCCUGAGACACUGGGCCGCCUUCUCAUCCUGCAGGCGCCCAGGGUGUUUUCUGUGCUCUGGAUGCUGGUUAGUCCAUUCAUUGAUGACAACACCAGAAGGAAAUUCCUCGUUUAUGCAGGAAAUGACUACCAGGGUCCUGGAGGCCUGCUGGAUUACACUGACAAAAAGAUUAUUCCAGAUUUCCUGAGCGGGGAGUGCAGGUGUGAAGUGCCAGAGGGUGAACUGGUCCCCAGUUCUCUGUACUGCACUGAAGAGGAGCUGGAGGAUGAAGACCACAAGCUCUGGACUGAGACCAUUUACCAGUCUAUAAGCAUCUUCAAAGGAGGCCCCAAGAGAUUUUCAUUUGGAUUGUGGACACCUCUUCAGUCAUCACUUGGGAUUUUGACGUGUGCAAAGGGGACACUGUCUUUAACAUCUGUCACUACAAGAGGUCACCACAGCCAUCCCAAAAGGACUCUCUGGGGCCCUCAGCAUCACCUUUCCAGGUGGGAGCAAUGUGUAGCUCAUAGAAAAAGUCUGGCAGCUGGGCUGCGACUACAGCAUGGUGAUUGCCUCUGAUCUGCAAAGAAGGAGAAGGCAUGCAGGGCUCCCAUGUGACCAGGUGGCGGGGCUUCUACAGCCUGCAGUGAAAUGCCACAGCAUGCCCGCAUGCGCCGCCAGCAGCCUGCCCUGGGUGGACAACGUGCUUGCAUUCCUGCAGGUCUCUUUGCACAAGUGUAAAGUGAUGUACUACACGAGGUGAUCGGCUCCAAGGAUUUCAGAGGUUCCAUGACAAGCCUGGAGUCCAGCCACAGUGGCUUCUCACAAGUGAGUGCCACUACCACCUCCUCCAGCCAGUCCCACUCCAGCUCCAUGAUCUCCAGGUAG